AACGAACGCUGGCGGCAUGCCUAAAACAUGCAAGUCGAACGGGUGUAGCAAUACACCAGUGGCAGACGGGUGCGUAACACGUGGGAACCUGCCCAGAGGUUCGGAAUAGCUGCGGGAAACUGCAGGUAAUACCGAAUGUUGCCUGAGGGCUAAAGGAGCAAUCCGCCUUCGGAGGGGCCCGCGUCCGAUUAGCUAGUUGGCGAGGUAACGGCUCACCAAGGCGACGAUCGGUAGCUGGUCUGAGGGGAUGACCAGCCACACUGGAACUGAGAUACGGUCCAGACUCCUACGGGAGGCAGCAGUUGGGAAUAUUGGACAAUGGGGGAAACCCUGAUCCAGCAAUGCCGCGUGUGUGAAGAAGGCCUUCGGGUUGUAAAGCACUUUUGUCCGGAAAGAAAUCGCGCUGGUUAAUACCUGGCGUGGAUGACGGUACCGGAAGAAUAAGCACCGGCUAACUACGUGCCAGCAGCCGCCGUAAGAC
rnacentral:rRNA from 1 species